UACGAAGGGUGCAAGCGUUACUCGGAAUUACUGGGCGUAAAGCGUGCGUAGGUGGUGAGUUAAGUCUGUCGUGAAAGCCCCGGGCUCAACCUGGGAAUGGCGAUGGAUACUGGCUCGCCAGAGUGCGGUAGAGGAGAGUGGAAUUCCCGGGUGUAGCAGUGAAAUGCGUAGAGAUCGGGAGGAACAUCAGGUUGCGAAGGCGGCUCUCUGGGACCAGCACUGACACUGAGGCACGAAAGCGUGGGGAGCAAACAGG
rnacentral:rRNA from 1 species